rnacentral:rRNA from 1 species
UAAUACGAAGGGGGCUAGCGUUGCUCGGAUUUACUGGGCGUAAAGGGCGCGUAGGCGGACGAUUUAGUCAGAGGUGAAAGCCCGGGGCUCAACCCCGGAAUAGCCUUUGAUACUGGUCGUCUUGAGUUUGGGAGAGGUAUGCGGAACUCCGAGUGUAGAGGUGAAAUUCGUAGAUAUUCGGAAGAACACCAGUGGCGAAGGCGGCAUACUGGCCCAAUACUGACGCUGAGGCGCGAAAGCGUGGGGAGCAAACAGGAUUAGAUACCCUGGUAGUCCACGCCGUAAACGAUGAUUGCUAGUUGUCGGCACGCAUGCGUGUCGGUGACGCAGCUAACGCAUUAAGCAAUCCGCCUGGGGAGUACGGUCGCAAGAUUA